rnacentral:guide_RNA from 1 species
AUCCAAUAAACGUAUAUGCAGAGAGUUCGUAUAAUGUGAAUGUUAAG